rnacentral:rRNA from 1 species
GACGAACGCUGGCGGCGUGCCUAAUACAUGCAAGUAGGACGCAGUUGCGAACGGGUGAGUAAAGCGUAGGUAAAUGCCUAUUAGAGGGGGGUAACUAUUGGAAACGAUAGCUAAUACCGCAUACUAGUAGAUGGACCUGCGUUGUAUUAGCUAGUAGGUAGGGUAAUGGGCUACCUAGGCGACGAUACAUAGCCCACCUGAGAGGGUGGUCGGGCACACCUGGACUGGGACAAGGGCCCUACUCCUAAGGGAGGGAGCAGUAGGGAAUAUUCGGCAAUGGGGGGAAACCUGACCGAGCAACGGCGCGUGAGUGAAGAAGGUUUUUGGAUCGGAAAGCUCUGUUGUUAAGGAAGCGGUACUUAACCAGAAAGCGACGGCUAACUACGUGCCAGCCGCCGCGGUAAUAC